CAAGAGCGUAUAUUAAAGUUGUUGCAGUUAAAAGCUCGUAGUUGGAUUUCUGGCACAAUGCGCCUGGCCCGCGGCAGUAAUGCCUGUGAGUGCCGGUGCGCGUUGUCCAUCCUUCUAGAAAACGUCUCUACCGUUAACUCGGCCGGAUUCGCGAUCUAGAUCUUUUUACUUUGAAAAAAUUAGAGUGUUCAAAGCAGGCUUAUGCUGUGAAUACAUUAGCAUGGAAUAAUAAUCUAGGACUUCGGUUCUAUUUUGUUGGUUUCGGAACUUGAGGUAAUGAUUAAGAGGGACAGACGGGGGCAUUCGUAUGAUGGUGUUAGAGGUGAAAUUCUUGGAUCGCCGUCAGACGAACUACUGCGAAAGCAUUUGCCAAGAAUGUUUUCAUUAAUCAAGAAC
rnacentral:rRNA from 1 species